AUUGAACGCUGGCGGAAUGCUUUACACAUGCAAGUCGAGCGGCAGCACGGGGGCAACCCUGGUGGCGAGCGGCGAACGGGUGAGUAAUACAUCGGAACAUGCCCAGUCGUGGGGGAUAACACUUCGAAAGAAGUGCUAAUACCGCAUACGUCCUGAGGGAGAAAGCGGGGGAUCUUCGGACCUCGCGCGAUUGGAGUGGCCGAUGUCAGAUUAGCUAGUUGGUGGGGUAAAGGCCUACCAAGGCAACGAUCUGUAGCUGGUCUGAGAGGAUGAUCAGCCACACUGGGACUGAGACACGGCCCAGACUCCUACGGGAGGCAGCAGUGGGGAAUUUUGGACAAUGGGGGCAACCCUGAUCCAGCCAUGCCGCGUGAGUGAAGAAGGCCUUCGGGUUGUAAAGCUCUUUCGGCCGGGAAGAAAUCGCGCAGGCUAAUAUCCUGUGUGGAUGACGGUACCGGAAUAAGAAGCACCGGCUAACUACGUGCCAGCAGCCGCCGUAAGAC
rnacentral:rRNA from 1 species